rnacentral:misc_RNA from 1 species
AUUUUUACAUUUUUAACACGUUCGAGGAUUGUUUUUGGUAUUUGUCAUUAUUCAUGCCAGAGCAGAAUUUGGUAGAUAUACACAUUAGAUCAUGCGAUACCGGUGGAAAUCCGCUCUGUGUCGGUGGAAAUUGGUGGCUACAUGCCUAUCCCCGAUAUUUGUAGUGUUCUUCUUUACUUUACUUUUACACCAACCGUCAGACGGCCAGAUAUCUGUUCAACAGAGAAGAACCCCCGAAAAACCUACACUACUCACAAACUACACAAAAAAUCCUUACAACAUAUCCCAUCCGUAUGAUGUCAACUUUGAGGAGUUACUUGUGAUGAAAGACAGCGGACAGGAGAUUCCAUUAGUACCUCUAAAUUCGCACCCGUAUAAAUAUAUUUUGAAUCCAUCCAAUGUUUGUAACGACCCCCCUCCCCAAAAUGGGUCAAUAUUUGUACUAAUACUCAUCAAAAGUGCGCCGGAUAACUUCCAUUUAAGACAGACUCUUCGAAUGUCAAUGGAGAAGAACCCAAUUGAGCAGGGCUAUGUUCGAAUCGUUUUCUUGAUGGGAACGUCAAAGAAAGAACAUAAUAAGAACAUUUUGAUAGAAAAUGCAUUAUAUGGAGACAUUGUACAGCAAAACUUUGUGGAUUCUUAUAAAAAUCUGACCAUUAAAACCGUCAUGGGAUAUAACUGGGCAGUGGAGUAUUGCUCGAAUGCUACUCACAUACUUUACAAAGAUGAUGAUUUCCAUUUUAACGUGAAAAAUCUACUGAAAUUUCUGUCAAAUCACGAACAUCCGCAGUCGUUACUGGUGGGGUACAGAGUAGAAAAGGCCCCCGUGAUGCGUCAUCAGGCUAGUCCACAUUUUGUGAAGAAAGAAGAUUAUUCAAAUAAUAAAUAUCCGCCAUAUUUAGCUGGAGGUGCCUACGUGGUUAGUAUGGACGUCGCCAAGAGGUUUGUAGUGGCAUUCCCUUAUGUCAAGUACAUUGCAGUGGACGAUUCUUACCUUGGAAUCGUCGCAAUGAAGCUAAAUGUUCUUCCGCAGAUGAACGAUAGUUUGUUUUCUUUCAAGGACUGCAAAGAUUUAGACUCCAAAGUGAUUGCCUGUAGGGGAUAUACGUCGCAUAAAGAGGUGUUUUCGGCGUGGAAAAUGUACGUGAAGCGAGUUUUAUCCAAAUUUUACAUCUGAUUCCUUAGGAAGGACGUAUUGUUUUGUGUUCAAUAUUUGGUAGCUUUCCGUGAAAAUCAAAAUGUUUACAUCAUUGUGUUACUUUCAAACCUCUCAUGCCAAGGUCUGACUGUUUCUCUUCUUGAGAAUUGUCACAGGAUGUGUUCUUAAAUGGUAUACAUGUACAUGUACAUUCAUUUUGAAUCAAAUGCCGAAACUGAUCUAUUUUGAAAAAAAAAUUCAAAUAAAUGGUCAAUAAAACUUUAGCACUGUAUACAUAUUUUUGAGUUUGAUUUGUAUUUUCAAAGAAGUGUUUAGUUUUCUACGGAUUUUGGACAUGUUUGGUACAAAUGAUUCACCCGACAGAAGCUGGCUGUUGAGGAUCGUUAGCUAGUCGUUCAAUCUAUGAUAUUGUGUAGCGUGCUGCAACAGAUGAUGAUUAUGAUAAUACAUAUAUAUGUGUGGAUG